rnacentral:rRNA from 1 species
GAUGAACGCUAGCGAUAGGCCUAACACAUGCAAGUCGAGGGACCGGCGCACGGGUGCGUAACACGUAUGCAACUUGCCUCACAGAGGGGGAUAACCCGGCGAAAGACGGACAAAUACCGCGUACUGUGAGAUAGGCAUGCGUAUGAUUAGCUAGUUGGUGAGGUAACGACUCACCAAGGCAACGAUGGGUAGGGGAACUGAGAGGUUGAACACCCACACUCGUACUGAGUGACGGACCAGACUCCUAAGGGAGGCAGAGGUAAGGAAUAUUGGUCAAUGGGCGAGAGCCUGAACCAGCCAAGUCGCGUGAAGGAUGACUGUCUAUGGAUUGUAAACUUCUUUUGUAGGGCAAUAUGUACCCUACGAAUAAGCAUCGGCUAACUCCGUGCCAGCAGCCGCGGUAAUGCC